rnacentral:ncRNA from 1 species
GAGAGCACAGUACGAUGAAAGUUGUACGCUGUGUUCGGGAGGGAGUUAUUGUCUAUCCUAU